rnacentral:rRNA from 1 species
GACGAACGCUGGCGGCGUGCCUAAUACAUGCAAGUUGAGCGAUGAAGAUUGGUGCUUGCACCAAUUUGAAGAGCAGCGAACGGGUGAGUAACGCGUGGGGAAUCUGCCUUUGAGCGGGGGACAACAUUUGGAAACGAAUGCUAAUACCGCAUAAUAACUUUAAACAUAAGUUUUAAGUUUGAAAGAUGCAAUUGCAUCACUCAAAGAUGAUCCCGCGUUGUAUUAGCUAGUUGGUGAGGUAAAGGCUCACCAAGGCGAUGAUACAUAGCCGACCUGAGAGGGUGAUCGGCCACAUUGGGACUGAGACACGGCCCAAACUCCUACGGGAGGCAGCAGGAGGGAAUCUUCGGCAAUGGACGAAAGUCUGACCGAGCAACGCCGCGGGAGUGAAGAAGGUUUUCGGAUCGGAAAACUCUGUUGGUAGAGAAGAACGUUGGUGAGAGUGGAAAGCUCAUCAAGUGACGGUAACUACCCAGAAAGGGACGGCUAACUACGUG